AGUGAACGCUGGCGGUAGGCCUAACACAUGCAAGUCGAACGGCAGCACAGUAAGAGCGUGCGCUUACGGGUGGCGAGUGGCGGACGGGUGAGGAAUACAUCGGAAUCUACUUUUUCGGGGGGGAUAACGUAGGGAAACUUACGCUAAUACCGCAUACGACGUACGGGUGAAAGCAGGGGAUCGUCGGACCUUGCGCGAUUGAAUGAGCCGAUGUCGGAUUAGCUAGUUGGCGGGGUAAAGGCCCACCAAGGCGACGAUCCGUAGCUGGUCUGAGAGGAUGAUCAGCCACACUGGAACUGAGACACGGUCCAGACUCCUACGGGAGGCAGCAGUGGGGAAUAUUGGACAAUGGGCGCAAGCCUGAUCCAGCCAUACCGCGUGUGUGAAGAAGGCCUUCGGGUUGUAAAGCCCUUUUUUUGGGAAAGAAAAGCAGCAGGUUAAUACCCCGCUGUUCUGACGGUACCCAAUGAAUAAGCACCGGCUAACUUCGUG
rnacentral:rRNA from 1 species